rnacentral:misc_RNA from 1 species
GAUGAAGAACGUAGCGAAAUGCGAUAAGUAAUGUGAAUUGCAGAAUUCCGUGAAUCAUCGAAUCUUUGAACGCACAUUGCGCCCCCUGGUAUUCCGGGGGGCAUGCCUGUCCGAGCGUCAUUGCAACCCUCAAGCGCGGCUUGUGUGUUGGGCUUCGUCCCCCCGUGGAUGUGCCCGAAAGGCAGUGGCGGCGUCCCGAAUGGUGCCCGAGCGUAUGGGAACUCUCUUCCGCUCGAACCGGCCCAUUCGGCGCUGGUCGAACCCCAAUUUUUUUUUACCGGUUGACCUCGGAUCAGGUAGGGAUACCCGCUGAACUUAAGCAUAUCAAUAAGCGGAGGA